CAGGAACCUGGGAGUUUCUGUUUUUGCUCUACUGCCCUGUGAAGAAGGCCUCAGGGUUGAUUGGGGCUGGUUAGACAUUGGCCCCGGAGAGUGUCUCUUUGGAGCCUUCAGAGAGCUGCCUUGGAAGAAUGGCACGCAUGCCUAUUGAAUUUCUCUUUCAGGCUUUUGGGCUCAUUAUGAUUCUGAGGGCAUGUUUUCCUUUGAUUCAGAUCAUAAGUUCCUUGAGAACACUGACUACCUCCCCUGUGCCUCAAGAAGAACCUUGAGCAUGUCUUGCCACGCUCAAAGAAUUUAUCAGCUAUCUGCCAACCUAUUGGAGACGAGUCUCUCCAUAUUUGGUGAGACUGAUGUUCAGCCAUCUGCUGCUGGGACCAAGUCUUCCAGAAUGGAAGUUGCUGGGAUUUCCACGGCUCUCUUGCUGGAGGGUUGAGAGCUGAGAAAUGGAGAAUGUUCUCCUUAGAAGAAAUAGUCUAAAUGAAAACCAUUCAGUAUAAUUUUUAACCUGAACUUUUUUCUUUCAAUUAUAGCCUAUCAAUAGAGCUCACCACUCCUUCUCUAUGACCUAACCUCUGGAUCCUUGCUAUAUGCAAUGGAAUAUGAGUUCUCAAAUGAACACUCUCCAUGUUUUAAUGCUUCUCCCCAUCUUGGUCCAAGCUGUUUAUUAGAUCUUAGAUUUAGAGUUGAAAUGGUCCUAAGAGUAAAUAUGGUUCACUCCUCAUUUGAUUUUUAUUUUAAAAUAAUUUUGUUGAUGUUAUUUUAAAAACUUACAGGUAUCUUUCAAUGUUCCUACCCCCAAUAGAACUUUUUCUUGUUAGACAGAAAUAAAAUCAAUAAAAAUGAAUCA
rnacentral:lncRNA from 1 species